rnacentral:misc_RNA from 1 species
UCCGGCUUAUCACCGGCGGUUUCUUUAGAGUGCCCAACUAAAUGAUGGCAACUAAAGACGAGGGUUGCGCUCGUUGCGGGACUUGACCCAACAUCUCACGACACGAGCUGACGACAGCCAUGCACCACCUGUCACCGGCCCCGAAGGACCCCGCAUCUCUGCGAGAUUUCCGGCGAUGUCAAACCCAGGUAAGGUUCUUCGCGUCGCAUCGAAUUAAUCCGCAUGCUCCACCGCUUGUGCAGGCCCCCGUCAAUUUCUUUGAGUUUUAACCUUGCGGCCGUACUCCCCAGGCGGAUAACUUAACGCGUUAGCUGCGCCACCAAAGCUCUAAGAGCCCUGACAGCUAGUUAUCAUCGUUUACGGCGUGGACUAC